rfam:Felis catus isolate Cinnamon breed Abyssinian chromosome F1, whole genome shotgun sequence.
GCCUGGGUGGCUCAGUCGGUUAAGCGUCCGACUUCGGCUCAGGUCACGAUCUCCCGGUCCGUGGGUUCGAGCCCCGCGUCGGGCU